rnacentral:rRNA from 1 species
CCCUUAGAUGUCCGGGGCCGCACGCGCGCUACACUGAAGGAAUCAGCGUGGCUUUCUCCCUGACCCGAAAGGGUUGGGAAACCCGUUGAAUCUCCUUCGUGAUAGGGAUUGGGGCUUGAAAUUGUUCCCCAUGAACGAGGAAUUCCCAGUAAGCGCGAGUCAUAAGCUCGCGUUGAUUACGUCCCUGCCCUUUGUACAUACCGCCCGUCGCUACUACCGAUUGAACGGUUUAGUGAGGGCCUCGGAUUGGUCUCGGCCCGCUCUUUACCGGGCGGCGCCGUUGGUCGAGAAGACGCUCGAACUUGAUCGUUUAGAGGAAGUAAAAGUCGUAACA